rnacentral:lncRNA from 9 species
GGGAGCAGCAUGGCCAGGACAGCCUCCGCCGGCAUCACGGGGCAUCCAAGGCCAAGGCUACAAAGGGUUUUGGCCCUGAAGAGAGUCUGUUCAGCGUUUGCUGACCCCAGAACAUGAAUGGGAGUGUGUAUCUGUCCACGUGUCCCACGAGGAGCUGAUUGUGUGAACAGAGCAUUAGAUGACUUCGUGUGCAGUUUACGGAAAAGGCACAGGGAACCAGAUUUACUGACAGAUCUGUGAUUAGAUCUGGGCCAGACUCGGCUGCAGGAGGUGGAGGUGGCCUGGGGCUCUCCUGCUCUGCCCUGAACCUGCCCAGACCAGACGGGUGCCACUGCCACGCUGUCCCCUGGUGCUCCUUCGAGCCCCCCCCACCCCCAAACGUCCAGGCUCUGAGAUCUGAGUGGAGGAAUUGGCCUCAGAGCCGAGGAACCUGCAGUGCUGGGGCCUCUUCCUGGACACAGUGGGCACCGUGCCCAGGCCUAGCCCUGGCGGGCGUCCUGUGGCUCCCACCCAGGGCCGCACUGAAGGACUCUGGGGCGUGUGGGACUCUUGCUCCAAGACUGGGGGUGCAGGAGUGACAGUCCUGGACACGCCAUUCAGCGAGCAGGGCAGGAGGGUCCUCCUGCAGCUGCAGCCUUGUCUGAGGGGUCCCGGCUGUAGCCCCUCCCUCCCAUCUUUCCCCCUUUUGUUUAUGUUCCAGCAAAUUAGAACUGGACACCACAGCAGGCUCCGUACUGUGGCUUUGGUGACCUCAGAGUGCACUGGCCAGCCUCCAGGCUGCGGGCAGGUGCCCCGAGCCCGGACUGAGCCCAGCCUGCAGGCGAGAGGCCCUUCCAGCCGCUGCCCGCACCUCAGCGCUGCAGAGCCUGCCGCCCAGGGUCUUCUCUACGGCGGCCGCCCAGGCAGUCUCGACCUCCGAGGAGCUGGCCUGGAGAGUGUAGUGUCCUGAGAUUUCCGCUGCCCUCGGAACCAGAUCUCAAGCCUCAAGCCGCUGUCCCCGACGUUCUCCGUCGUCCCGACCUCCGUCGUCCGGAGCCACAAGACCAGAGGGGCCUCAGACCCUGCUCCUUGGACAGCUGACUGCUCUCUGGCUGACUCUGACCCCAGCACCUCGGGUCCCUUUCCCCAGACCCCAAGGGGUGCGGAUGAGGCCCGGCCAGGGGUUCGUGGGGGACGGGCUGUGUCUCCUUCCCGCCCCCUCAGCAGUGGCUCCCUCCUGGGGCCUGUUUCCCCCAGAAAGGUUCCCUGGUGCCUCC